UACAGAGGUCUCAAGCGUUGUUCGGAUUCAUUGGGCGUAAAGGGUGCGUAGGCGGCGCGGUAAGUCGGGUGUGAAAUCUCGGAGCUUAACUCCGAAACUGCAUUCGAUACUGCCGUGCUUGAGGACUGGAGAGGAGACUGGAAUUUACGGUGUAGCGGUGAAACGCGUAGAUAUCGUAAGGAAGACCAGUGGCGAAGGCGGGUCUCUGGACAGUUCCUGACGCUGUGGCACGAAGGCCAGGGGAGCAAACGGG
rnacentral:rRNA from 1 species